AGAAUCAACGCUGGCGGCGUGCCUAACACAUGCAAGUCGAACGAGAAAGUGGAGCAAUCCAUGAGUAAAGUGGCGACCGGGUGAGUAACACGUGACUAACCUACCUUCGAGUGGGGGAUAACAUCGGGAAACCGAUGCUAAUACCGCAUAACAUCGCAAGAUCAAAGCAGCAAUGCGCUGGAAGAGGGGGUCGCGGCUGAUUAGCUAGUUGGCGGGGUAACGGCCCACCAAGGCGAAGAUCGGUAGCCGGCCUGAGAGGGCGCACGGCCACACUGGAACUGAAACACGGUCCAGACUCCUACGGGAGGCAGCAGUGGGGAAUUUUGCGCAAUGGGGGAAACCCUGACGCAGCAACGCCGCGUGGAGGAUGAAGCCCCUUGGGGUGUAAACUCCUUUCGACCAAGACGAUAAUGACGGUACUGGUGGAAGAAGCACCGGCUAACUCUGCGCCAGCAGCCGC
rnacentral:rRNA from 1 species